GACGAACGCUGGCGGCGUGCUUAACACAUGCAAGUCGAACGGAAAGGCCCUGCUUUUGUGGGGUGCUCGAGUGGCGAACGGGUGAGUAACACGUGAGUAACCUGCCCUUGACUUUGGGAUAACUUCAGGAAACUGGGGCUAAUACCGGAUAGGAGCUCCUGCUGCAUGGUGGGGGUUGGAAAGUUUCGGCGGUUGGGGAUGGACUCGCGGCUGAUCAGCUAGUUGGUGGGGUAGUGGCUUACCAAGGCUUUGACGGGUAGCCGGCCUGAGUGGGUGACCGGCCACAUUGGGACUGAGAUACGGCCCAGACUCCUACGGGAGGCAGCAGUGGGGAAUAUUGCACAAUGGGCGGAAGCCUGAUGCAGCAACGCCGCGUGCGGGAUGACGGCCUUCGGGUUGUAAACCGCUUUCGCCUGUGACGAAGCGUGAGUGACGGUAAUGGGUAAAGAAGCACCGGCUAACUACGUG
rnacentral:rRNA from 1 species